GUUUUUAUCGUCUGCAAUUUUGGCCGAAAAACACAAGCUCGCCGGAGAAGACGGUGGCGCUGGCCACCGUCCCCUUUCCAGUUUGAAUCUGGAUCGUUGGAUUGAGUUUCCCAGAUCUAAUCCUGGCCUUCGCUUGUUAUGACUUAUUUUAAUUCAUUGUGUUACGCGUGGACUUUGGUCUAUGGUGGAAGCGCGCUUCUACAGCGUAUGAUCUUCCAGCUCAAUUAAUGAGCUCAGAUCUAACGCUCCUUGUUUUUUUGAAUUUCUUAUUUUCUGAUAUUAUUUCUUUUAUUUCCAUUAUUUUUAAAAAUUCAUAUCUUCUUCAUUUUAAUUCCAAAAAAUAUGAAACCAAUUGCAUUCUUCUCCAAAUAUUUUCUAGUUUCUAAUUUUGAUUUUUAAUAUUUUUUAUUUCAUCAUUUGAUAUUUUUUGUGAAUUUUCUCUUUUCUGGUUAUUUUUAAUUCAUUUUAAUUAGUUUUUGAUAUUCAAAAAAUACAAAAAUAUUUUCCUAACCUAUUUGAAUGAUGAUGAAUCUAUGAAAAAUAUUCUCAUUAAUUUUUUAAUUGAUUUGAGAUUUAUUUGAGAUUUUAGUUCAAUUAGGUUAUUUUUAUUCAUUUUUAAUUGAUUAAAAA
rnacentral:lncRNA from 1 species